rnacentral:misc_RNA from 1 species
GUACCCUCCAGCCCUGCUGGGUGUUGGGCGUUUUGUUCCGCUGCACGCGUGAACUCGCCUCAAAUGCAUUGGCAGCCCGCCGUCCCGUGUGGGAGCGCAGCACAUUUUGCGCUCUCCGCUGCUGACGGUGGCAUCCACAAGUCUACCAUUUUAC